rnacentral:rRNA from 1 species
GACGAACGCUGGCGGCGUGCUUAACACAUGCAAGUCGAACGGAUCACAUUGCUUCGGUUUUGUGGUGAGUGGCGAACGGGUGAGUAACACGUGAGUAACCUGCCCCCUUCUUUGGGAUAACGUCGGGAAAUCGGCGCUAAUACUGGAUAUUCUGGUUUCCUCGCAUGGGGUUUCUGGGAAAGGUUUUCUGGUGGGGGAUGGGCUCGCGGCCGAUCAGCUUGUUGGUGGGGUGAUGGCCUACCAAGGCGGUGACGGGUAGCCGGCCUGAGAGGGUGUCCGGCCACACUGGGACUGAGACACGGCCCAGACUCCUAUGGGAGGCAGCAGUGGGGAAUAUUGCACAAUGGGCGCAAGCCUGAUGCAGCGACGCCGCGUGAGGGAUGACGGCCUUCGGGUUGUAAACCUCUUCCAGUACAGAACAAGGCCUUCGGGUUGAGGGUAUGUGCAGAAGAAGCGCCGGCUAACUACGUGCCAGCAGCCGCCGUAACAC